rnacentral:rRNA from 1 species
CAGUAGCCACGGUAAUACGUAGGUGGCAAGCGCUGUCCGGAAUUAUUGGGCGUAAAGCGCGCGCAGGCGGAUAGGUCAGUCUGUCUUAAAGGUUCGGGGCUUAACCCCGUGAUGGGAUGGAAACUGCCAAUCUAGAGUAUCGGAGAGGAAAGUGGAAUUCCUAGUGUAGCGGUGAAAUGCGUAGAUAUUAGGAAGAACACCAGUGGCGAAGGCGACUUUCUGGACGAAAACUGACGCUGAGGCGCGAAAGCCAGGGGAGCGAACGGGAUUAGAUACCCCAGUAGUCCCUGUCUCUUAUACA